UGGGGAAUAUUGGACAAUGGGCGCAAGCCUGAUCCAGCCAUGCCGCGUGUGUGAAGAAGGCCUUCGGGUUGUAAAGCACUUUUGUUGGGGAAGAAACCGGUCGGAUUAAUACUUCGGCUGAAUGACGGUACCCAAAGAAUAAGCACCGGCUAACUUCGUGCCAGCAGCCGCGGUAAUACGAAGGGUGCAAGCGUUACUCGGAAUUACUGGGCGUAAAGCGUGCGUAGGCGGUUUGUUAAGUCUGUCGUGAAAGCCCCGGGCUCAACCUGGGAAUGGCGAUGGAUACUGGCAAGCUAGAGUGUGUCAGAGGAUGGUGGAAUUCCCGGUGUAGCGGUGAAAUGCGUAGAGAUCGGGAGGAACACCAGUGGCGAAGGCGGCCAUCUGGGACAACACUGACGCUGAGGCACGAAAGCGUGGGGAGCAAACAGG
rnacentral:rRNA from 1 species